rnacentral:rRNA from 1 species
UACGGAGGGGCUAGCGUUGUUCGGAAUUACUGGGCGUAAAGCGCGCGUAGGCGGACCUGCAAGUCGGGGGUGAAAGCCCGAGGCUCAACCUCGGAACUGCCUUCGAUACUGCGGGUCUCGAGUCCGGGAGAGGUGAGUGGAAUUCCUAGUGUAGAGGUGAAAUGCGCAGAUAUCAGGAGGAACACCGAUUGCGAAGGCAGCUCGCUGGGACGUUACUGACGCUGAGGCGCGAAAGCGUGGGAGCAAACAGG